rnacentral:rRNA from 1 species
GGGGCGGGGGCACGGGGGGACUCCUACGGGAGGCAGCAGUCGGGAAUUUUGGGCAAUGGGCGAAAGCCUGACCCAGCAACGCCGCGUGAAGGAUGAAGUCUCUCGGGAUGUAAACUUCGUAAGAAUAGGAGGAAUAAAUGACGGUACUAUUUGUAAGGUCCGGCUAACUACGUGCCAGCAGCCGCGGUAAUACGUAGGGACCAAGCGUUGUUCGGAUUUACUGGGCGUAAAGGGCGCGUAGGCGGCGUGACAAGUCACUUGUGAAAUCUCCGAGCUUAACUCGGAACGGUCAAGUGAUACUGUUGUGCUAGAGUACAGAAGGGGCAAUCGGAAUUCUUGGUGUAGCGGUGAAAUGCGUAGAUAUCAAGAGGAACACCUGAGGUGAAGACGGGUUGCUGGGCUGAUACUGACGCUGAGGCGCGAAAGCUAGGGUAGCAAACGGGAUUAGAUACCCCGGUAGUCCUAGCCCUAAACGAUGAAUACUUGGUGUCUGGAGUAUUAAUUCUCUGGGUGCCGUCGCUAACGUUUUAAGUAUUCUGCCUGGGGAGUACGCACGCAAGUGUGAAACUCAAAGGAAUUGACGG